AUCAACUGACAAGUCCCAAAUAGGACGAAACGCUCGUCUUAGAU
rfam:Schistosoma margrebowiei strain Zambia genome assembly, scaffold: SMRZ_contig0001249